rnacentral:rRNA from 1 species
GCAGUGGGGAAUAUUGCGCAAUGGGCGGAAGCCUGACGCAGCGACGCCGCGUGAGGGAUGACGGCCUUCGGGUUGUAAACCUCUUUCAGCAGGGACGAAGCGAAAGUGACGGUACCUGCAGAAGAAGCACCGGCCAACUACGUGCCAGCAGCCGCGGUAAUACGUAGGGUGCAAGCGUUGUCCGGAAUUAUUGGGCGUAAAGAGCUCGUAGGCGGUUUGUCGCGUCGGCUGUGAAAGCCCGGAGCUCAACUCCGGGUCUGCAGUCGAUACGGGCAGACUUGAGUGUUGCAGGGGAGACUGGAAUUCCUGGUGUAGCGGUGAAAUGCGCAGAUAUCAGGAGGAACACCGGUGGCGAAGGCGGGUCUCUGGGCAACAACUGACGCUGAGGAGCGAAAGCGUGGGGAGCGAACAGGAUUAGA